GAUGAAGAACGCAGCGAAAUGCGAUAAGUAGUGUGAAUUGCAGAAUUCAGUGAAUCAUCGAAUCUUUGAACGCACAUUGCGCCCCUUGGUAUUCCAUGGGGCAUGCCUGUUCGAGCGUCAUUUGUACCUUCAAGCUUUGCUUGGUGUUGGGUGUUUGUCUCGCGUUUGCGUGUAGACUCGCCUUAAAAUAAUUGGCAGCCGGCGUAUUGAUUUCGGAGCGCAGUACAUCUCGCGCUUUGCACUCAUAACGACAGCGUCCAAAAGUACAUUUUACACUCUUGACCUCGGAUCAGGUAGGGAUACCCGCUGAACUUAAGCAUAUCAAUAAGCGGAGGA
rnacentral:misc_RNA from 1 species